GACGAACGCUGGCGGCGUGCUUAACACAUGCAAGUCGAACGGAAAGGCCCUGCUUUUGUGGGGUGCUCGAGUGGCGAACGGGUGAGUAACACGUGAGUAACCUGCCCUUGACUUUGGGAUAACUUCAGGAAACUGGGGCUAAUACCGGAUAGGAGCUCCUGCUGCAUGGUGGGGGUUGGAAAGUUUCGGCGGUUGGGGAUGGACUCGCGGCUUAUCAGCUUGUUGGUGGGGUAGUGGCUUACCAAGGCUUUGACGGGUAGCCGGCCUGAGAGGGUGACCGGACACAUUGGGACUGAGAUACGGCCCAGAAUGCUACGGGAGGCAGCAGUGGGGAAUAUUGCACAAUGGGCGGAAGCCUGAUGCAGCAACGCCGCGUGCGGGAUGACGGCCUUCGGGUUGUAAACCGCUUUCGCCUGUGACGAAGCGUGAGUGACGGUAAUGGGUAAAGAAGCACCGGCUAACUACGUG
rnacentral:rRNA from 1 species